rnacentral:rRNA from 1 species
GAGUUCCUACGGGGCGCAGCAGUGGGGAAUAUUGCACAAUGGGGGGAACCCUGAUGCAGCGACGCCGCGUGAGUGAAGAAGUAUUUCGGUAUGUAAAGCUCUAUCAGCAGGGAAGAAAAUGACGGUACCUGACUAAGAAGCCCCGGCUAACUACGUGCCAGCAGCCGCGGUAAUACGUAGGGGGCAAGCGUUAUCCGGAUUUACUGGGUGUAAAGGGAGCGUAGACGGUUAUGCAAGUCUGAAGUGAAAGCCCAAGGCUCAACCAUGGGACUGCUUUGGAAACUGCCCGGCUAGAGUGCUGGAGG